rnacentral:tRNA from 1 species
GCGUAAUUGGUUUAGUGGUAAAAUUCUCCGUUGCCAUCGAACAAGUAUCGGGGAGCCCUGGGUUCGAUUCCCAGAUUACGCA